rnacentral:misc_RNA from 1 species
UACAGAUUUAGAAGCCAUAGCAGACCGGUUUGCUGGAGAAGAUGGCAUUUUAGGUAGAGAUUUUUCCUGCAGUUUCAUUGACUCCUCCACAACACUCAUCCCACGUGUUUUUGAUUUCUUCGGUGCUGACAACUCAGCUGUAAUGGUCCUGGGAAUUGCUUUGAGAGCCGGGGAAAUGACUUCCCUCCUAUAGCUGCUUUCUCUAAAGUUUGUAUAUUCAGAACCAUUUAUCUUUAGCUUUGAUAGUAUCGGUCGCCUUCGGCCAGAUUUCUUGCCACCAGAAAUCCCCAACCUCCCUUUAGAAUUGGCAAAUUGCCAUCCUUCAUCUGAUGCAGUCUCUUCAGCCACUUCAACUGCAAUUGUGGGCCUGUAUAUAGCAACAUUAUCUUUUUCUUCUGAUUUUUCACAUUGAACCAUGUCCGCGUUUAUGUCUUCUGUGCUGCCACUGGCCAAAGACACUACAUUUUCCGAUCUUUCAUGGAGUAUGGCAUCUUCAACUAUUUCAUCUUGAUGGCCUUGAGGGGCUUUAUCACUAAUCUGCGGUACCUGUCAAAUUUUAAUAGGAAGAUUAGUUGCUAUUUUGUUCUCUCUAAUUAGUAGAUCUAUUAGAUCAAACUUAAACUUCAGAGAGAUGAGAAGGUGCUAAAUUCAGUGGAUAGCACUGACUCUGCUCCAAUGGCAUUCUUAAGGAACGUAAGAUGCAAUCUCAUGCUCAGCAAAAGCAACAGUCCAAAUUUCCAGUUUAUAGGGAACUCCAAUUGACAGAACUUUAAUCCAAUGCCAAAAGAAAUGUCAAGCUAUUGUUUGCCCCUUCUUUUUUUCACUCAAUUAUGGGCAAAGCAAGAUCAACCUGAUGUCCUCUUGCCUUUAAGAAAGCAAAUUGUAUAAAAUGCUAGUUAGACAGAUGUCUUGAUGUCAACACUAAAGUCAACAAGCCUAUUUGGCUAUUUGAUAGUGGGGAUAUAAAAUUCUUUAGGGAAAAAAAAUUAGCAACAGACUAACAGAUUUUAACAUCAAAUUCAAUGAUGAGUUAAAAAGAAACUACGUCUUGGACCAAGUUGUGUUUAAAAGUCCUAAUGAAAUGACCAAUAUAUACUACCUUCGCACGCCGCUGUUUCUUCUGUGAAUCGCUUCGUCUAGAAUCUUGAUCAGGACUGAUGUAAUCCAAGAGAUCUGAUACGCUGCAAUAAAAGGUCGCAGGUGUUGGUACCCCCAAGCUAUAGUUGCAGACCUAAAAACAAGUAAUAUGGAGAAUACCAUAUCAAUACCUAAGGUGACCUUUGCUUGCAAUA